AACGAACGCUGGCGGCAUGCCUAACACAUGCAAGUCGAACGAGACCUUCGGGUCUUGUGGCGCACGGGUGCGUAACGCGUGGGAACCUGCCCUUAGGUUCGGAAUAACUCCCCGAAAGGGGUGCUAAUACCGGAUAAUGUCUUCGGACCAAAGAUUUAUCGCCUUUGGAUGGGCCCGCGUUGGAUUAGCUGGUUGGUAGGGUAAAAGCCUACCAAGGCGACGAUCCAUAGCUGGUCUGAGAGGAUGAUCAGCCACACUGGGACUGAGGCACGGCCCAGACUCCGACGGGAGGCAGCAGUGGGGAAUAUUGGACAAGGGGCGAAAGCCUGAUCCAGCAAUGCCGCGUGAGUGAUGAAGGCCUUAGGGUUGUAAAGCUCUUUUACCCGAGAUGAUAAUGACAGUACCGGGAGAAUAAGCACCGGCUAACUCCGUG
rnacentral:rRNA from 1 species